UACGUGGGGGCUAGCGUUAUCCGGAAUUACUGGGCGUAAAGAGUGCGUAGGCGGUUACGCAAGUUCGGUGCGAAAUCUCCCGGCUCAACUGGGAGGGUGCGCCGGAAACUGCGGAGCUAGAGUGCGGGAGAGGAGAGCGGAAUUCCUGGUGUAGCGGUGAAAUGCGUAGAUAUCAGGAGGAACACCGGCGGUGUAGACGGCUCUCUGGACCGUGACUGACGCUGAGGCACGAAAGCGUGGGGAGCAAACAGGAUUAGAUACCCUGGUAGU
rnacentral:rRNA from 1 species